AACACUUGGGACCUGACCAGAUAACCCUAGAAUACUCCUUAGAUGUUAAGGUGGAAGAGAAAAACCGAGAAUAUUUAUGUUAAUAUUUGUUCAUCCAUCACACAUCUCUUGCAGACCAAGACAUUAAGGGUUGAUCAGGAAUUUAAGAAAUUGUUAUAUCAAGAGGAAACUAUCUUCACAUAAUUCCCACACAGAAAUUGCUCCUGGAGCCAAAUAAACUGGAGAAAAGACUAUUUG